GCGUCCGCCCGCCCCGGCGCGGGCGGGCGC
rnacentral:misc_RNA from 1 species